CUAAUACAUGCAAGUCGAACGAACUCUGGUAUUGAUUGGUGCUUGCAUCAUGAUUUACAUUUGAGUGAGUGGCGAACUGGUGAGUAACACGUGGGAAACCUGCCCAGAAGCGGGGGAUAACACCUGGAAACAGAUGCUAAUACCGCAUAACAACUUGGACCGCAUGGUCCGAGCUUGAAAGAUGGCUUCGGCUAUCACUUUUGGAUGGUCCCGCGGCGUAUUAGCUAGAUGGUGGGGUAACGGCUCACCAUGGCAAUGAUACGUAGCCGACCUGAGAGGGUAAUCGGCCACAUUGGGACUGAGACACGGCCCAAACUCCUACGGGAGGCAGCAGUAGGGAAUCUUCCACAAUGGACGAAAGUCUGAUGGAGCAACGCCGCGUGAGUGAAGAAGGGUUUCGGCUCGUAAAACUCUGUUGUUAAAGAAGAACAUAUCUGAGAGUAACUGUUCAGGUAUUGACGGUAUUUAACCAGAAAGCCACGGCUAACUACGUGCCAGCAGCCGCGGUAAUACGUAGGUGGCAAGCGUUGUCCGGAUUUAUUGGGCGUAAAGCGAGCGCAGGCGGUUUUUUAAGUCUGAUGUGAAAGCCUUCGGCUCAACCGAAGAAGUGCAUCGGAAACUGGGAAACUUGAGUGCAGAAGAGGACAGUGGAACUCCAUGUGUAGCGGUGAAAUGCGUAGAUAUAUGGAAGAACACCAGUGGCGAAGGCGGCUGUCUGGCUGUAACUGACGCUGAGGCU
rnacentral:rRNA from 1 species